GUAUCUUCUCGAUAAACCCUUCUCUUUGCCUUACGAAUGCAUCUUCAUAGUCUUCUCCACCUAUCUAGUUAGUGGCUCCACCCUGCGAAUUUCAAAAGCGGUUAUUCAUUGAAGCCUUGUAGCGUAGCCAUGUCUUCUUCCAAAGACGCAGACCCAAACCUAGGUUUUCUAACUCGAAAGGAUACAGAGGUGAAGCUUCCACGACCAACCAGGGUUAAAAACAAAACCCCCGCUCCCAUUCAAAUCACCGCCGAGCAGAUUCUUCGCGAAGCUAGAGAACGUCAAGAAGCCGAGAUCCGCCCUCCCAAACAGAAAAUCACCGAUCCAACAGAGCUCGGCGAGUACCGUCUCCGAAAACGAAAGGAAUUCGAGGAUUUAAUCCGGCGAGUUCGAUGGAACAUUAGUGUUUGGAUUAAAUACGCACAGUGGGAGGAAUCGCAGAAAGACUUCAAACGCGCGCGUUCCGUUUGGGAAAGAGCUUUAGAAGUUGAUUACAAGAAUCACACGCUAUGGUUGAAAUACGCGGAGGUGGAGAUGAAGAACAAGUUCGUGAACCAUGCCAGGAACGUUUGGGAUCGUGCUGUUACUCUUUUGCCGCGAGUGGAUCAGUUAUGGUACAAGUAUAUUCACAUGGAGGAGAUGCUCGGAAAUGUCGCCGGAGCGAGACAGGUUUUCGAGAGGUGGAUGAAAUGGAUGCCGGAUCAGCAAGGAUGGCUCUCUUACAUUAAAUUUGAACUUAGGUACAAUGAAAUUGAACGAGCUAGGGGGAUUUUCGAGCGAUUUGUUCAGUCUCACCCUAGGGUUGGGGCUUGGAUACGUUAUGCCAAGUUUGAAAUGAAGAAUGGUGAGGUUCCUAAGGCGAGGAAUGUUUAUGAAAGAGCGGUGGAGAAGCUUGCAGACGACGAAGAAGCUGAACAGCUUUUUGUGGCGUUUGCUGAGUUUGAGGAAAGGUGCAAGGAGGCGGAGCGUGCAAGGUGUAUAUAUAAAUUUGCACUUGAUCAUAUUCCUAAGGGAAGGGCGGAAGAUUUGUAUCGCAAGUUUGUGGCGUUUGAAAAACAGUAUGGUGAUAGGGAAGGGAUUGAGGAUGCUAUUGUUGGGAAGAGAAGGUUUCAGUAUGAAGAUGAAGUGAGGAAAAAUCCUUUGAAUUAUGAUUCUUGGUUUGACUAUAUAAGAUUGGAAGAAAGUGUGGGGAAUAAGGAAAGAACUAGGGAGGUUUAUGAGAGAGCUAUAGCUAAUGUUCCUCCAGCUGAGGAGAAGCGAUAUUGGCAGCGAUAUAUUUAUUUGUGGAUUAAUUAUGCACUCUAUGAAGAGCUUGAUGCUGGCGAUAUGGAGCGAACAAGAGAUGUGUACAGGGAGUGUCUCAACCAGAUACCUCACCAUAAGUUUUCAUUUGCAAAGAUAUGGCUUCUAGCAGCCCAAUUUGAAAUACGGCAGCUGAAUCUCAAGGGUGCUCGUCAAAUAUUAGGAAAUGCUAUUGGAAAGGCUCCUAAAGAUAAGAUAUUUAAGAAGUAUAUAGAGAUAGAACUGCAACUUGGUAAUAUAGAUCGGUGCAGAAAACUCUAUGAAAAGUAUCUGGAGUGGUCACCUGAAAAUUGCUAUGCAUGGAGCAAGUAUGCAGAGUUAGAGAGAUCUUUAUCUGAGACCGAAAGAGCUAGAGCAAUAUUUGAGCUUGCAAUUGCCCAACCAGCAUUGGAUAUGCCUGAGUUGUUGUGGAAGGCAUACAUUGACUUUGAAACUGCUGAGUGUGAAUUUGAGAGAGCAAGGGUACUUUAUGAAAGGCUUCUUGAUCGAACAAAGCACUUGAAGGUAUGGAUAAGCUAUGCAGAGUUUGAAGCAACAGCAAUUGAUAAGGAGAGUUUAGACUUGUCAGAAGAAGAAAAGAAGCAAUGCAUUCAGCGUGCCAGAAGGGUGUUUGAGGAAGCUCUGAACCACUUCAGAUCAUCAGCUCCAGAUUUAAAAGAAGAAAGGGCAAUGCUUCUAGAGAAAUGGCUCAACUUGGAGGCUUCAUCUGGGGAGCUAGGUGAUGUUAGCUUAGUCCAGUCUAAGCUUCCCAAGAAGCUCAAAAAGAGACGGCAAGUUACUACUGAAGACGGUUCUUCUAGAAUUGAAGAAUUUAUCGACUAUCUAUUCCCUGAGGAAACUCAGACGACCAAUCUCAAGAUUUUGGAAGCUGCUUACAAAUGGAAGAAGCAAAAAUUGUCUACUGGUGAUGAUUAACAGUAUCUUGUUGCUCUCAUGCUUCCAGCGUGGCAUGAUUCCAUUCUUGUAUAACUGGCAAUAUUUGUAGCUUCAACAGCGAAGUCAAUUUUGGGCUUUUAAAGUUUGUAACAGAGAAGUGCAUUGAAGAACACGUGCUUUCCUUACAUUGUGAAUUGGAAGUCAUGGUUGUAAAUUGUGAUUUUCCUCACAUGUGAUAUAGGCAAUGUGUUAGGUAAACCACAAGUUUGCAUGCUUUGACUUCUUUUCAUGUGUCGUGGAAUGUGUUAUUACAUUGAAAUGGGGGAUUAAGCUUAAAGUGACAACAUUUGAAUACAAGAGAGUAAAGUUUACAAGAUUACACAUUCUCUACUUUUGCUAGUCUAAAGAGUCUUGUUGUUUGUAAGUCAUUUAUACCUCGAUAUGCUAAAAAAGCAAAGGUUGACCUUUUAAUUUGUAAAAACAUAAUGUUAUAUCAAAUUUGUGAAACAUUUUUUUAAUCAA